AUGCCGAUGGACACCCCGCCGCCGCGCGGGGCGGCGCUGUCCGACGACGACCGCCUCCUCGUCGCCCACUGCGCCGCGCUUUCCUUCCCCUCCGCCUCCCGCUCCCCGACCUCCGCUGCCUCCGCCUCCUUCCAGGUGCACCACGCGUCCCACCCCUACCCCUGCGCCGCCUUCGUCUUCCAGCCCACCUGGUCCGCCGCCGGCUGGAUGCCCUCCUCCCCCGACGCCGGCGGCCGCGCGCCGUUUGGGGACGCUGAGGUCGACCCCGCGCUCUUCCCGUCGCUGCGCAGCGUCGGGAGCGGCGUCCCCGCGCGCGCCAGCGCCGCCUUCGUCGCCGCCUUCAGGGGCCUGCUCGACGGCUCGCCGCUCCAAACCGAGGUAUCUAAAGCGGUGGCAGAGGAGAAACGCGUCGUAUUCACAGGCCAUUCAUCUGGAGGUUCAAUAGCCACCCUUGCUGCCAUAUGGUUUCUUGAGAACUGCACGAGACGGGGAAGUGUCAAUCAAGCACAGCCAUUUUGCGUGACCUUUGGGGCACCUCUUGUUGGCGAUAAUGUUUUCAACCAUGCUGUUAGAAGGGAGGGCUGGUCGCAGUGUAUUUUGCAUUUCAUCAUGCCACUGGACAUCAUCCCACGAAUACCGCUGGCCCCCCUUGAAUCCUCUAGAGAACAAAUUCAAUCUGUUCUGGAUUGGUUGUCUCCUCACAGUCCAAACUUCUCACCUGUUGGGAAUUCGCUUCGCCCUUUAUCGAAAAAAAAAUCCCCUUACAGACCCUGUGGGACUUAUCUUUUCUUGACAAGCACCGAACAACUGAUUAUUCUCACAAACUCAGAUGCUGUAUUACAGUUGCUAUUUUACUGCCUUCAAUUGGAUCCCCAACAACAAUUGCUUGAUGCUGCCGCCAGAAGUUUAAGUGCUCACUGGGAAUAUGAAUCGAUUAAGCAAAAUGUGAUGCAAGAGAUAGUUUGUGUGGAUUACCUAAGAGCAAUUUCAUCAUCCCUUCCUGGUAGACAGAUGAAUGGGACAGCAAUUGGUGGCCUUGAACUGAGUAAGGAAGCUAUGCUGAGCCUUGCUGCUGCUGCACAAUGGGAGAAGCAAAGAGAGAUAAACCAAGCAAAGAUAGAUGCAAACUGCAGUAAAAUUCAGGAAGCCCUCAAGUCCUUGAAUGAGUACAAAAGAACAUGCGAGCUGCAUGAAGUGAGCUACUAUGAUUCCUUCAAGCUUCAGCGGGAAGUGCAUGACUUCAAUUCAAAUGUACGGAGGCUGGAACUAGCCGGCCUUUGGGACGAGAUAAUUGAGAUGUUGCGAAGGCGUGAGCUUCCAGACGCGUUCGAAGGGCGAGAAGAGUGGGUGAAUCUGGGAACCUCGUACCGUCGGCUGGUUGAGCCCCUGGACAUUGCAAACUACUACAGGCAUUCCAAGAACGAGGACACCGGCUCCUACCUCUCCAAGGGCAGGCCGAGACGUUACAAGUAUACUCAGAAAUGGCGCGAGCAGUUGCACCGCAUCCCCUUGGGUUCCAGCCUCGAGUCGUGCUUCUGGGCAAUGUCCGAGGAGCUGCAGGCUGAGAUGAUCAACGGCAAAUCAUUCGAGGAUUUGAAAGACAGGGUGGGUAAACUGGAGAGUGAUGCACUUGGAUGGUUCACCUCGGGAAAUCUUGGCAGGGAUGUGUUUCUGAGCAGCUCAUCCUUUGUGAUAUGGUGGAAGACACUCCCGGAGCAGCACAGGUCCGCGUCGUGCAUCGCGAGACUUGUGCCUUCGUAA
rnacentral:rRNA from 1 species